rnacentral:rRNA from 1 species
CGGUGUUUAACUGGCGUGAUGUGGGACGUCCUACCGGUGGGCUUAGCCUCGCGAGGGGCGGCCCAACUAAUAUCCCGUCGCGGUGCUCUUUACUGAGUGUCGAGUCGGGCCGGUACGUUUACUUUGAACAAAUUAGAGUGCUUAAAGCAGGCUAUCCUCGCCUGAAUACUGCGUGCAUGGAAUAAUGGAAUAGGACCUCGGUUCUAUUUUGUUGGUUUUCGGAACCCCGAGGUAAUGAUUAAUAGGGACAGAUGGGGGCAUUCGUAUUGCGACGUUAGAGGUGAAAUUCUUGGAUCGUCGCAAGACGGACAGAAGCGAAAGCAUUUGCCAAAAAUGUUUUCAUUAAUCAAGAACGAAAGUUAGAGGUUCGAAGGCGAUCAGAUACCGCCCUAGUUCUAACCAUAAACGAUGCCAGCUAGCGAUCCGCCGAAGUUCCUCCGAUGACUCGGCGGGCAGCUUCCGGGAAACCAAAGCUUUUGGGUUCCGGGGGAAGUAUGGUUGCAAAGCUGAAACUUAAAGGAAUUGACGGAAGGGCACCACCAGGAGUGGAGCCUGCGGCUUAAUUUGACUCAACACGGGAAACCUCACCAGGCCCAGACACCGGAAGGAUUGACAGAUUGAUAGCUCUUUCUUGAUUCGGUGGGGUGGUGGUGCAUGGCCGUUCUUAGUUGGUGGAGCGAUUUGUCUGGUUAAUUCCGAUAACGAACGAGACUCUAGCCUGCUAAAUAGGCGUACCUUAUGGUAUCGCGAAGGCCCCCGGCUUCGGCCGGUGGGUUUUUACUACCAACGUACAAACAAAUCUUCUUAGAGGGACAGGCGG